UUAAAUUGAAGAGUUUGAUCAUGGCUCAGAUUGAACGCUGGCGGCAGGCCUAACACAUGCAAGUCGAACGGUAACAGGAAACAGCUUGCUGUUUCGCUGACGAGUGGCGGACGGGUGAGUAAUGUCUGGGAAACUGCCUGAUGGAGGGGGAUAACUACUGGAAACGGUAGCUAAUACCGCAUAAUGUCGCAAGACUAAAGAGGGGGACCUUCGGGCCUCUUGCCAUCGGAUGUGCCCAGAUGGGAUUAGCUAGUAGGUGGGGUAACGGCUCACCUAGGCGACGAUCCCUAGCUGGUCUGAGAGGAUGACCAGCCACACUGGAACUGAGACACGGUCCAGACUCCUACGGGAGGCAGCAGUGGGGAAUAUUGCACAAUGGGCGCAAGCCUGAUGCAGCCAUGCCGCGUGUAUGAAGAAGGCCUUCGGGUUGUAAAGUACUUU
rnacentral:rRNA from 1 species